rnacentral:rRNA from 1 species
GCGACAGGCCUAACACAUGCAAGUCAGGGGCAGCACAAGGAGCAAUCUGAGGUGGCGACCGGCGCACGGGUGAGUAACACGUAUGCAACCUGCCUGUAAGCGGGGAAUAACCCGUUGAAAGACGGACUAAUACCGCAUAAUACUAAAUUACUGCAUGGUAAUUUAUUUAAACAUUUAUGGCUUACAGAUGGGCAUGCGCAUGAUUAGCUAGUUGGAGAGGUAACGGCUCCCCAAGGCAACGAUCAUUAGGGGUUCUGAGAGGAAGGUCCCCCACACUGGUACUGAGACACGGACCAGACUCCUACGGGAGGCAGCAGUGAGGAAUAUUGGUCAAUGGACGAGAGUCUGAACCAGCCAAGUCGCGUGCAGGAAGAAUGUUCCCUAUGGAUUGUAAACUGCUUUUGCAGGGGAAUAAAGUGCAUCACGUGUGAUGUUUUGUAUGUACUCUGCGAAUAAGGAUCGGCUAACUCCGUGCCAGCCGCGGC